rnacentral:lncRNA from 1 species
AUGUGGGUCUUCUGUCCAGACGGGCAUCAGACGCAUCAUUUCCGACGCAGCGUCUGGAUGGAAAUGUGCUGCUGUAUGGAUGUUUUAAUUACGAAGAUUACAGAAGAAUCACAGCUGUUCAGCAUCGAGCGAACGAAUCACAUGAUCCAAAAGUGCUGCACAAAUCUAAAGAAAAUGUGUUAGAUAUCAUUAGAUAUUGAACCGAAGCUCCUGUUAAAAACAAAAAAAUUACCCAUGAAGAACCGCAUCAGAAUCAACAGUGAAGCAUGAAUCGUGAGCUGCGGCGAAUGAAUCAAUCCUGAACAGAAUAAAUCAGAUCAUUUAUUAUCUCACAGAUAAACAGAAGCCUUCAGCUGAAACAGUUUCUGAGUGUGGGAUAUGAACAUAUGAUUCAUGAUUUCAGCAGGAAAGAAGCUCGGGCUGAUUCUGUGCUCCAGAUCAUCAUCACGUCCGCAGCGGGACGAUGGAAGAAACGCAUGUGACGGGAAUCUGUGAGUCCAGCUAAAAUUAGCUCCGUUGUGCUUCUGCGUGAACUUGCACUUAGUAGUGUGGGCUUUCUAAAGUAAACAGGAAGUGAGCGCUGGAGGCGUAAAGAAACUCUCAGUCCACGUCCAAUAAUACACUCCGAACAGAGAACCAGCUCGCAGCCAAACACACAGACGUACAGCGAUACACAGUCAGUACACCAGGCCUCAAUCAAACACUGCAGUUUAAGAUUGAUGUAGUUCAAUUAAAAACUAAAAACAAUGCAACAGAUCAGAUUUCUGUAACAGUGUUCAUUUAAAUACUUCAUAUACACAAUAAUCAGCUUUAUAUAUUUAUCAUUAAUAAAUAAAGUUUGUUUCAGUUCAUGAAUUGCUCGAUUCACAGGCAGUCACGUCUUCAUACUUUUAAAAUGAAUUUUAUUUAUUCUCACAAUGAACAGAUUUAACAAAUUUAAAUAAAAUCAAGUAGAUGUAAAUCUGACCUGUUUCAUUGAUGAAUGACUGACAAAUAUGCAUUACUUUAAGUUUAUUAGUUUAUGUUAGAACUGUGAAAUCCAGAUCGAUGAAUCUUUUGUGUGUCG